rnacentral:rRNA from 1 species
GAUGAACGCUGGCGGCGUGCCUAAUACAUGCAAGUCGAGCGAACAGACGAGGAGCUUGCUCCUUUGACGUUAGCGGCGGACGGGUGAGUAACACGUGGAUAACCUACCUAUAAGACUGGGAUAACUUCGGGAAACCGGAGCUAAUACCGGAUAACAUGUUGAACCGCAUGGUUCAACAGUGAAAGACGGUCUUGCUGUCACUUAUAGAUGGAUCCGCGCCGCAUUAGCUAGUUGGUAAGGUAACGGCUUACCAAGGCAACGAUGCGUAGCCGACCUGAGGGGGUGAUCGGCCACACUGGAACUGAGACACGGUCCAGACUCCUACGGGAGGCAGCAGUAGGGAAUCUUCCGCAAUGGGCGAAAGCCUGACGGAGCAACGCCGCGUGAGUGAAGAAGGUCUUCGGAUCGUAAAACUCUGUUAUUAGGGAAGAACAAAUGUGUAAGUAACUAUGCACGUCUUGACGGUACCUAAUCAGAAAGCCACGGCUAACUACGUG